rnacentral:rRNA from 2 species
GGGUUGUGAGGUUAAGCGACUAAGCGUACACGGUGGAUGCCCUGGCAGUCAGAGGCGAUGAAGGACGUGCUAAUCUGCGAUAAGCGCCGGUAAGGUGAUAUGAACCGUUAUAACCGGCGAUUUCCGAAUGGGGAAACCCAGUGUGAUUCGUCACACUAUCAUUAACUGAAUCCAUAGGUUAAUGAGGCGAACCGGGGGAACUGAAACAUCUAAGUACCCCGAGGAAAAGAAAUCAACCGAGAUUCCCCCAGUAGCGGCGAGCGAACGGGGAGGAGCCCAGAGCCUGAAUCAGCAUGUGUGUUAGUGGAAGCGUCUGGAAAGGCGCGCGAUACAGGGUGACAGCCCCGUACACAAAAGCGCAUGUGUUGUGAGCUCGAUGAGUAGGGCGGGACACGUGGUAUCCUGUCUGAAUAUGGGGGGACCAUCCUCCAAGGCUAAAUACUCCUGACUGACCGAUAGUGAACCAGUACCGUGAGGGAAAGGCGAAAAGAACCCCGGCGAGGGGAGUGAAAAAGAACCUGAAACCGUGUACGUACAAGCAGUGGGAGCACAGGUUUACCUGUGUGACUGCGUACCUUUUGUAUAAUGGGUCAGCGACUUAUAUUCUGUAGCAAGGUUAACCGUAUAGGGGAGCCGCAGGGAAACCGAGUCUUAAUUGGGCGUUAAGUUGCAGGGUAUAGACCCGAAACCCGGUGAUCUAGCCAUGGGCAGGUUGAAGGUUGGGUAACACUAACUGGAGGACCGAACCGACUAAUGUUGAAAAAUUAGCGGAUGACCUGUGGCUGGGGGUGAAAGGCCAAUCAAACCGGGAGAUAGCUGGUUCUCCCCGAAAGCUAUUUAGGUAGCGCCUCGUGAA